AGGCUGCGGCUUUUCUGGCUUCAGCGCCGCGGCUGGAGUUAUGGCAUGUUUCCUGGAUGUGGAUCCCUGCCUUGACUGCCUUCUGCCGCUACUCAGACAGCCGGCUCUGUGCAGCGGGGUCUCUCUCCACAGUCUCGGCAUUUCUGCAACAGUGGAUUCAGCCAGGAGGCACCACUGGAAUGUUCAUCAUGAACCUCUUUGUGUCUCACUCCUGUGAUUUAAGCUCAAGGCUUCUGACUCAGAAAGUUCACCAGUGCUCCAGGAUGAAUCACUGUUGCUGUGGAUGUCCUUGUAAAGCAACUCGGAAACCUUGUGCUGUGUAUCAAACUUUCGGCCUUGUCAAUAGUAGAUGAGCACUCUACCAUUCAGCCUUAUCUCUGGCUCUGUGAAGACACCAAAUCUGUCAGAUCUUUGUGAGAGAGUGCACAGCAGAAGAGGAGGGGAAUCUUCUCAGUGAUUAAGGAUUUGGAGGAAUCAGUCUUUCCACUGACAUCUUGAAAUGUGAGCUGGACAAAGGAAACGGUAUCCCACUCAGUCAGGGGCUGCUUUAUUCUCACUUCAUAGGAAUUAGGAGACUUCAUGAGAAAAUUAUAAAGAAAUGAAGCAGGAAGUAUGACUACAGUUGUUUGAUCUCAGUUUCACAAAACAUCAUUCAACAAUGCAAUCAGUCUCUGGAGAUGCACCCCAGACCACAGCACGGAAUUUAGACAUUUGAGAUCAAGUUUGAAGAAAGUGAAGCUCAGUGAACUACUGGUGAAGUUUCUUCAAUCUUUAUUCC